UACGGAGGGGCUAGCGUUGUUCGGAAUUACUGGGCGUAAAGCGCGCGUAGGCGGCUUUGUAAGUUAGAGGUGAAAGCCCGAAGCUCAACUUCGGAAUUGCCUUUAAGACUGCAUCGCUAGAAUCAUGGAGAGGUGAGUGGAAUUCCGAGUGUAGAGGUGAAAUUCGUAGAUAUUCGGAAGAACACCAGUGGCGAAGGCGACUCACUGGACAUGUAUUGACGCUGAGGUGCGAAAGCGUGGGGAGCAAACAGG
rnacentral:rRNA from 1 species